CUUUUUCAGAUUUUCCAGCAUUUCUGUUUGUCUUCUACUUGAAGAGAUCUAAUAAGAUCAUUGAGAACAAAGGAAGAACCAAAGACUUCUUAUCAGAAAGACUGAUGAGUAGUCAAGUAUCAAGCAGACUCAGUAUGAAACUACACAAAUUCAGUGCAAGGCGAUAUAAAUGGUGUACAGAACCCCUUUACCUCUGGAGAAAUCC